rnacentral:rRNA from 1 species
GAUCCUGGCUCAGGAUGAACGCUGGCGGCGUGCCUAACACAUGCAAGUCGAACGGAGUCGUUUUGGAAAUCUCUUCGGAGAUGGAAUUCUCGACUUAGUGGCGGACGGGUGAGUAACGCGUGAGCAAUCUGCCUUUAAGAGGGGGAUAACAGUCGGAAACGGCUGCUAAUACCGCAUAAAGCAUCGAAACCGCAUGAUUUUGAUGCCAAAGGAGCAAUCCGCUUUUA